GGAUCCAUCUGUGUUUCUGUCCCAUGCACAUUUAUCCCUGCGCUCUUCCUGUCCGCUGUUGACUCAAACAGCCUCUGCUCGUUUAUUAGCAGCAGUGCGCCAAUUAAUUCCCAGCCCCCUUUCCUGUGUUCCAGCAGCAGCCUGGGCCGUACACAGAACAACUGGAGAGGAGAGGCACGAGAAGGAAAGGGAGGGUGCCUUCUCUGACGUCACGAGUGCAUGAGUGAAGAGAGCAAGAGGAGGAACGGGUCGACAAGAAGACAAAAAGAGUGACAGGCGCGAGACUUGUGAAGUUCGACUUUACAGGGUGACGUUGGAGACAAAUGAACUUGGGGCAGAGAGCAGGGAUAAAAAACUGUUAUUUCAGGGACACACUUUACAGAAGCUUCUGCAGCCUGUUGAUCGGGACAAAGCGUGUGUAAAGUCUUCCUGCUGUUUGAAUGUACUGUGAUAUUAGCACUGGAAUAUUGCCCUGUUUGCCUCUAUGAAGCGGCUCCAUUACAAAGGUCAGAUGUAAAUACUUCCUUUGAAUAGGAUGGCUGACUUUCCGCAUGGCUGCCUGUGUUUGCAGUUGAUUUAAGAGUCCACUACCCAUCUGAGUGAUUGACUGCUUAAUUGUUUAGCUUCUACCCGUUUGUUUGUCCGCCUUCCCUUUCCGUCUGCCUUUAUCUGCCUGUUUUUAUGUCAAGUCCGUGUACGCUCUCUCGGCUGAGUUUUUUACUGGCAGUGCAGAGUGCGAACAGAGGUCAUAAAAAGUUCUCAAAAAGCAGCAGACGGGGCGUCAUGGCAGUGCCGAAGCAGGGCCGGAGCUGCCUCAAACAUUCCUCUCAUUGUUCAGAGGGCCCGUAAGUGUGUGAGCUCCAAAACCUCCAUGAAAGGAAGGGAAUCCAGCCACUACUGUAGCUGACAAGGUUUCAUUCAGCUGCACUUCAGGGCUGUCUGUCUCUGUUUUCCUGUCCGCCGUCCUGUCUGGUUCCCCUCUUGGGGGCAGUGACAUAAACUAAAUUGGGUUGCGGACAAUACGAAAAAGAGCUGAAGGAAGUUCACAUGAGGCUGACGCAGCAAGGACAGAUGAGAUAAGUGUGAGGAUAAAGCGCAUUUAGUAAGAUCUGUUAGUCUGUUUUUCAUGUGCCUGAUUGUGGCUUGCGAUAACAGGGAAGAGGCUGGAGGAGUUCUAAGUAAAAGGCUAAAUGAAUGGCUGAAUGUUUGGAUGGAAGGUCAGAGCAAUAAUGGAGGAGAAGGUGAAGAUCCAGUCAAGCUUUGGUGGGGUUGUUGGGUGGGUGAGUGGGUGUGCCGGCGGCAAGUAUGGCUGGGCCCUGGCUCAGGAAACACURGCGUAGUGGAAUAAAAGCGUAUGUGUGCCAUUUCUGCGGCCAUUCGUGCAUGUGCGGUUCAGUGGCAGCAGGGCAGCUGUGCACUAAGUACAGGGCUGGUGGUGGUGAGGGUGUUUGGCUAUGAACCAGGCUGAGGAUAGGGUUACAAGCACAGGGCUACAGGGAGUGGACCAUGAGCUUGGGCUGGGUUCUUCACUCAAAAACAACAACAUUUUAAAGCUUUUCUUGAACAACCCCCCCACCCCCCAAAAAAACGACUAAUGUCCCACAUGUGGUACAUUCUUCCACUGAGUCCAGGCCAGGCGGUGAUUGUUUGUCUUUGAUUCCUGAAAACUGCAAAAGAUCAGGCCCGCUGUGGAGCCAGAUCCCUUGUUCGAAUGUCGCUGAAUGUCACGGCCUUUGAAGUAAUUACACCCUGACACGCAACAUGAAACAAAAUCAGAACCUCGGCCACAUGCAUGGCCAAGACAUGCUCUGUCUGAUGAUUGAGCUAGGGUGUGGUGCUGAGUAAGGUGUGUAAGUACAAAGAUCCAGGGAUGUGCCUUGCAGUUUCCAAGCGCUUUUGCUGCAAAUGUUUUGUUGUUAAAAUAUCUUAAAAUAUCUUGAGCGGAGGCCUCGCUUCAGGGUCUACUGUCAAACUGGGGGAUGUAAAGACUCAUUUUGGUAAUUCAGUUGGCAUGUUUUUUUUUGGCUUUUGUCAUUCUGAACAGGUUGAGCACGUAAAAGCAGCAGUUAUAAAAUGCAAACAUUGUAUACUUGCUCUUUAGAAAAGGAGUUCUGGCGUUAAGUUCUCAACUCAAGCCCUGAUUUGAAUCUUUAUUCAAAACGUAUAGCGGAGGGCCGAUCAUUUUGACCCUUCACCAAUACAUACUUUUGUAGAUUUUGUUUUUGAAGGUAUAAAAUAAAGCCACCCACUGCAUGUAGCCAGGAAUAAUUAGUAUUGGCAACCCCUCCUUUUCAUACCAAUGUGCAAUUUAUACUCCCGUGUCAGGAAUUGUUGUCUUAAGACUCCAGUAAACUGGGUCUACCAACAACAGGCCAUUUAUAGCUUUUUAGAUACAAACAAAAGUCCUAAUUUGUCAUUUUUCACAUGAGACAUUGACAAGAAUAAUUAUCAGAGCAAAAUAAAUGGAAAUAGAAUGCAAUAAAGUAAGUUUUCCAAAAAAUAAUAUACCAGGAAAUUAAAUUAUAUGGAAAAUUUGAGCACUUCAAUGAUUAUGUAUUUCUGAAAGUCUUAAAAUACUUAAUUGCACAGAAAAAAGAUAAAAUGAUACAUAAUCGUUUGAGAAGUUUAUUAUGAUGGUUUGUUUAAGAAUAGAAGGUAGGAAUGUAAAGAGAUAAAACUGCAACAAAGUGGGGUAGCAGUGAUCGACCUGGGUGAAUUUCCCAAAUGGAGGCAAGGAUAAUUUGUGCGUUGAAAUGGCUUAUGUUCCCAGUUUUCAAGUAGAUCUUGCUAUUAAGCGAGAACUGUUUUACAUUUUACGGUGAAAGCCAAGUCAGAUUUGUAUGCAUUUGCACUUUUACUCGUUUAUGAGACUGUGAAAUCCCAGUUCAAGCACAUACGAUGUUUGCCCAGCAGCCCCAUUGACAUAACCCUGUUUGUUUGCUGAUAGUGAGCAUAUUGUGCUCGAAGAGGUAGAUUUGGCCUGCGAGCCAUAGAAGGGAGGGUUGAUAUGUGUUGAAACAACAAGAGGUCGAGAUCCAGCUGUCUCAACAGAGGCUUUUCCACUUAACCAUGCGGCCUUGUGUAAACGGCAAUGUCAAAUCUGGACUUGCGAUGAAGGGAACACGGCCAACGGCCACGUCCGCACUUGGACCUCCAUAUAUCCUGUGUAUAGAGAGCAGAACACACACAUAAUGUAAACUACACACCCUAAACUGUAGAAGAAUCUAUAAACAAGGCAAUAGUUCAUGAAAACUGCAAAAACACCUUUGACUUUACUAGAGUGCAUCUGUUGGAAAUCAUCUCUCGGUGAUGCAGGUUUUCCAGCUCGACACCUACAUCAAGAUGCAACACGUUGACACAUUUAUGCAACCCACGUGCCAGCGCCGUAUGAUUAUUUCUAACCACAAUAAACCUCCAAUUACAAAGAGGCAGAAGAACAGUUUCGCAGUGGGAAAAAAGAAGUGAGCUCUGUUGAGAUUCUCCAAGCCAGUGCUUGAGGUGAUGUGUUGGACAGCGCUUGUCAACCCAAUAACGCCGUCAUUACAGGGGGAAAGGGAAGGAAUGAGCUCAUAGACAUUAAUGGCUGCGGGUUUGAUGGGGGGAGCAAAAAGAGAGGGGGGAAAAAACCGAUGGAAAAGAUGAAAAGGCAGAGAAAAUAACAGCGCGAGUCGAGCGACUGCUAGAUGAAAGGAGGGAGGGAUGGCAGGGUUUUAGGUUGAUCGUGGAGAGGAGUUAAAGGGGAGUUAGCAUGCAGCCUUUGAAGGGUGCUGGGACCUGAGGUGACCUUGGUUGUUUUUUUUUAUUGUGACCAGGUGKAGCUACUUUGGCACGGGAUGGAAAGUAUGUGAAAUGUCCAGAGCGACAAAUCCAAUUAAAUUUUUUAAAUCGAAUACAACCGAUGAUUCUUCCUUAGUCAUACUCAGGCCUUCUGCGUUUCUAUUGCAAAACUAAAAGAAAAAUAAUAAACCAUUAUAAGGUAUUGCAAAAAAAAAAAAAAUCCGAAGAAAAUCAGUGUUUUGAGCUAAGGUGACUUAAUUUUAUGCGUAAAUUUGACUGCAAACUGGAAAACAAAGGAACAUUACCCUUGCAGUACUGGAAAGCAUYGGCCUGUAGAUUAUAUUUUAGAGGAAGUUGUGUACUAUUCUCUUUGAAACUGUUACAGAUCAGUGAUGAUGAUUGCAGAGGUCAAAGCUUCCCGUGUUUUUGGAACAGUGCUCCAGCAGAGCGGCUGCUUGAAACUUAUUUAGAGUCUGGAGUUCCCCAAACGCGUCCCAAUGACUCACAGCUUGCAGACGGUGGAUUAUUAAUGCGGCUAAAAUAAAAAUACCUUCAAGAAGACGGCAAAUUAGGGAACUCGGGAUGUGACACAGGUAUUCUUGAGACGGGUGCAUUUUUUUAAAAGGACUAUCACAAAACAGCUAUCAUGACAUUCUUUUAGAAACUUGUGUUUUGGUAACAUGAAAGCAGAGAAAACUCAACUUGUGUCCUAGUUUUCCACACAAGGACUUCAGAUAAAGAGGAUGAACAGAAAAAGGGAAGAUGUCUUCAUAGGGCGUGUCACUUCCUUGUUAACGAACUCUCCAUUCUGUCAUUGAUAAGUUAUUUUUGUAAGAGAUCAAGGGAACCUGACGAGAGCAUCGUAUGAAUGCAUAGCACGUACGAAUUGUCCAGUCUUCUAACCUCAUAUUUCACCGAGACGUUUAAAAGAGAGGACUUGCGUGAGAGGGUGACAGGGGAGACAAUGCAUCAAGGGUAUAAAUGACACAGGAGUUCUAUUUUGGUGUUUAUUAUUCAUAUGUUUGCAUGCUCUGAUGAGCUCCUUUUCGACUCACCUAGACGUCUCUGCUGGCCAGGGGAAUUCCUGGCAGAGUGAUUUUUGAGACUACAGGACUGAAUCACAUUGCCAGGGAUUUCCAAUGGCUGACACGAAGAAAAGCAGCACCCUUCUCUCGAACUCAUCCCCCCUCUCCACACACACACGCACACACACACACACGCACGCACACACCCACAGACACUUAAAAUUACUACCUCGUUCAUGGACACACCCAUGCUUUUCAUUUGCAUGCUCGCACACAAACACACCCGUCACCGGCAAAUGCUGGUUUUCAAGCCUCGCUGUGUGGCUGCAGGGCUUAACUCACAUGUGAACAGUGAGUCUCUGCCAUGUUCACAGUGGUUAAGUUCUGCCGCCACAGGGCUGCAGCCUGCAGGUGGGAGAGUAAAGGUCAGGGAGGGGAAACAAGUGCUACAAAUGAGCAUCACACUUCUAACAACACCACUGGAUUGGAUACAGAAUGCCGACAACAUAAUAAGCAACUAGUAGAAACAAAUGACUUAGUUGAGUGAAUCUUGGUGGAUUGUAGUAACCAUUUGUGCAUUUAGUUCUUAGUGACUAUUGUCUCU